rnacentral:rRNA from 1 species
GUCUAUGGCCAUGCUACCCUGAACAAGCCCGAUCCCAUCUGAUCUCGGAAGCUAAGCAGGGUUGGUCGUGGUUAGUACUUGGAUGGGAGACCACCUAGGAAGACCAGGUGCUGUAGGCU